rnacentral:misc_RNA from 1 species
GAAGAUUCUAACCUGAAUGAUGUUGCUGCAUUGCCUGGUUCAAGUGCUGUAAGGGCUAACGAGGAAAGCAGCCAACAGCUUCCCAAUGGUAAUAACAUUGACAUCUGGAAACAUGUUGGUUCUUCAGUCAAACCUAAAGAACGUGAGUUUCCAGGAAAAUACCAACCUCAUAUGGAUAAGAGGUUGGUAUUUUCCUGGAAACUCAC